AUACGUAGGGGACGAGCGUUGUCCGGAAUUACUGGGCGUAAAGGGCGCGCAGGCGGAUAUUUAAGUCAGCUGUAAAAGGCAUGAGCUCAACUCAUGUAUGCGGUUGAAACUGGGUAUCUAGAGUGCUGGAGAGGUAGGCGGAAUUCCCGGUGUAGCGGUGAAAUGCGUAUAUAUCGGGAAGAACACCAGGGGCGAAGGCGGCUUACUGGCCAGCAACUGACGCUGAGGCGCGAAAGCCAGGGGAGCGAACGGGAUUAGAUACCCGGGUAGUCCUGGCCGUAAACGAUGAAUGCUAGGUGUGGGUGUCGAGAGGCAUCCGUGCCGGAGUUAACGCGAUAAGCUUUCCGCCUUGGGAGUACGCCGGCAACGGUGAAACGCAAAUGAAUUGACGGGG
rnacentral:rRNA from 1 species